GCAGUCAGAGAGAGAGAAAGAGGAAGUGAGCAAGAGAGAACGAGAUAGGAGAAAGAGAGAAAGAGAGAGAGAGAGAGAAAUUACACGCAUAUAUUGCGUAGCAAAAGUUCUGAAUGAAAAAAUCGAGUCAUACGGGCGGACCGAGCCACAGGCGAUAAAUCUAACAAUCCAACAAAUGCCAACUUCAACUAAAGUAAACAAUAAAUAACACUGCCAUAUUGCAACACUGAAGUAACUGACAACAAACAACGCGAACAACAACCGAAACUACCUCGUUGCUGGCCAGGCACAACAAUAAAGCGCACACACUCAACUCACACCACACAGGAUAGCAGAAGAAUUGCCUUUGAUGCAUUUCUAAUGUAGUUGCAGCCGCCACUUGCUUAGGUAAAAUGGAACAACAAAUAUCCCAGAGUCACUAAAAA